UGGACAGAUUAUUGUAUUCGACUGUAUUCACGGCGUAAAAUAGGGGAUUAGACUAUUUUUAAAACAGAAAGUGAAUCAAUUAACAUAAUAGACUCCU
rnacentral:pre_miRNA from 1 species